GCUCCGUUGGUGAACCAGCGGAGGGAUCAUUACCGAGUUUUGUUACUCCAAAACCCUUGUGAACUUAUACAUUUUCUGUUGCUCCGGCGGGUUAACGCCCCGGAAAGCCCAAAAAGGCGCCGGAACCAGGAGCCCGCCGAGGGAACCAAACUCUUGUAUUUCUUACUUUGUAUGACUGCGUGGAAUCAUAACCAAAUGAAUCAAAACUUUCAACAACGGAUCUCUUGGUUCUG
rnacentral:misc_RNA from 1 species